AUGAGAACGGGCGAAAAAGGAGAUGGGGAAGGGUGGCGUGUUAUGGGACGCCUUGGACCACCCCGUCGCCACCUACAAGGUAUGCGCCCUGGUCCCCUUUUGAUCCUCUUGCCCUUUCCUCCUUGCUGGUGGCGUGUCAGCAGUGAGCUUCUGAAAGGGGACUCCAACGGACUCAUGAAGCUGCUUACAGACAAGGACGCGUUCUUCAGGGACUACGCGAAGUCGCACAAGAAGCUUUCCAAGCUCUACUUUACUGGCGUGGACAUGCAGAGACAAAGCCAAGAGGGCUGUCAUAAGAACUAUCAUUGUCUUCCCAGUUGCGGUUGUCGUCAUCGCCUGCGCUUACAUCUUUGA
rnacentral:rRNA from 1 species